GGACUGGCUCCUCCCUUCCCUCUUUGCGGUCGCCCGGGUCGGGCCUCACCAGGAACCUAUCCAUCCCGCCGCCCCUGCACAGCCGUGGAGCACAAGCUAACCUAAACCUAAAAUCCACCUGCCUCCGUUGCCAACAACUGGGAUCUCAGGCAAGCAGUCACAGGCCCCGCCCCCUUCGGAAUUCGCUAGCUCCGGCAGCAAACGCUACACGUGGGAA